UACGGGGGGGGUAAGCGUUGUUCGGAAUUACUGGGCGUAAAGGGUGCGUAGGCGGGUCUUUUAAGUCAGGGGUGAAAUCCUGGAGCUCAACUCCAGAACUGCCUUUGAUACUGAGGAUCUUGAGUUCGGGAGAGGUGAGUGGAACUGCGAGUGUAGAGGUGAAAUUCGUAGAUAUUCGCAAGAACACCAGUGGCGAAGGCGGACUCACUGGCCCGAUACUGACGCUGAGGCACGAAAGCGUGGGAGCAACAGG
rnacentral:rRNA from 1 species